UAGGAAGUAGAGCCGGCUAGCAGCAGUCAAGGCGAAGUGGGCAAGGCGGUCCAGUCGCAUUUCGCCGAGACGUCCUCUCCAACCAACCGGCCGGCACAGCUGUUUCACCGCUCCCGUGAGCCCUGCGGAAACAUUACGGGACCGUGUGACGGAGCCUUUUCCACGUAAAGGGGCCGUGUGGGUGGCCUUCAGGAACGGGCCGAGGGGUUGCCGCGCGCCCUGCGAUGACGGCGUCCGGCUCCCGGCGUGGCCGAAGCGCGUGGCCUCAGGACGUGGCCGUUCACAGGAGACCGUGA